rnacentral:rRNA from 1 species
UAGAAUUCCACGUGUAGCGGUGAAAUGCGUAGAGAUGUGGAGGAAUACCGGUGGCGAAGGCGGCCUUCUGGACGGAUACUGACGCUGAGAUGCGAAAGCGUGGGGAGCAAACAGGAUUAGAUACCCUGGUAGUCCACGCUGUAAACGAUGUCGAUUUGGAGUUUGUUGCCUAGAGUGAUGGGCUCCGAAGCUAACGCGAUAAAUCGACCGCCUGGGGAGUACGGCCGCAAGGUUAAAACUCAAAUGAAUUGACGGGGGCCCGCACAAGCGGUGGAGCAUGUGGUUUAAUUCGAUGCAACGCGAAGAACCUUACCUGGUCUUGACAUCCACAGAAUCUUGCAGAGAUGCGAGGGUGCCUUCGGGAACUGUGAGACAGGUGCUGCAUGGCUGUCGUCAGCUCGUGUUGUGAAAUGUUGGGUUAAGUCCCGCAACGAGCGCAACCCUUAUCCUUUGUUGCCAUCGGUUAGGCCGGGAACUCAAAGGAGACUGCCGUUGAUAAAGCGGAGGAAGGUGGGGACGACGUCAAGUCAUCAUGGCCCUUACGACCAGGGCUACACACGUGCUACAAUGGCGUAUACAAAGGGAGGCGACCUCGCGAGAGCAAGCGGACCUCAUAAAGUACGUCUAAGUCCGGAUUGGAGUCUGCAACUCGACUCCAUGAAGUCGGAAUCGCUAGUAAUCGUGAAUCAGAAUGU